rnacentral:rRNA from 1 species
UACGUAGGGUGCGAGCGUUAAUCGGAAUCACUGGGCGUAAAGCGCACGUAGGCGGAUUCCUAAGUCGGGGGUGAAAUCCUGGAGCUCAACUCCAGAACUGCCUUCGAUACUGGGAAUCUUGAGUCCGGAAGAGGUGAGUGGAACUGCGAGUGUAGAGGUGAAAUUCGUAGAUAUUCGCAAGAACACCAGUGGCGAAGGCGGCUCACUGGUCCGGUACUGACGCUGAGGUGCGAAAGCGUGGGGAGCAAACAGG